AACACCCGAAGCCGGUGGCCUAACCGGCAAGGGAGGGAACCGUCGAAGGUGGGGUUGAUGAUUGGGGUG
rnacentral:rRNA from 1 species